AUUGAACGCUGGCGGCAGGCCUAACACAUGCAAGUCGAGCGGAUGAAGGGAGCUUGCUCCUGGAUUCAGCGGCGGACGGGUGAGUAAUGCCUAGGAAUCUGCCUGGUAGUGGGGGAUAACGUCCGGAAACGGGCGCUAAUACCGCAUACGUCCUGAGGGAGAAAGUGGGGGAUCUUCGGACCUCACGCUAUCAGAUGAGCCUAGGUCGGAUUAGCUAGUUGGUGGGGUAAAGGCCUACCAAGGCGACGAUCCGUAACUGGUCUGAGAGGAUGAUCAGUCACACUGGGACUGAGACACGGUCCAGAGUCCUACGGGAGGCAGCAGUGGGGAAUAUUGGACGAUGGGCGAAAGCCUGAUCCAGCCAUGCCGCGUGGGUGAAGAAGGUCUGCGGAUUGUAAAGCACUUUAAGUUGGGAGGAAGGGCAGUAAGUUAAUACCUUGCUGUUUUGACGUUACCAACAGAAUAAGCACCGGCUAACUUCGUG
rnacentral:rRNA from 1 species